GCCGCGGUAUUUUGACCGUGCAAAGGUAGCGCAAUCACUUGUCUCUUAAAUAGAGACCUGUAUGAAUGGCUAGACGAGGGCUUAACUGUCUCCCCCUUCCAGUCAGUGAAAUUGAUCUAUCCGUGCAGAAGCGGGUAUAAUUAUACAAGACGAGAAGACCCUUUGGAGCUUAAGGUACAAGGUUCAACCACGUUAAACGACUCCACGAAAAGCAAGAACUUAGUGGCGAGUGAAACUUUACCUUCGGUUGGGGCGACCACGGAGGAGAAGAGAGCCUCCGAGUGGACUGGGCUAAUCCCCAAAGCCAAGAGAUACAUCUAUAAGCCGCAGAACAUCUGACCAAGAAUGAUCCGACUGAAAAGCCGAUCAACGAACCAAGUUACCCUAGGGAUAACAGCGCAAUCCUCUCCCAGAGUCCAUAUCGACGAGGGGGUUUACGACCUCGAUGUUGGAUCAGGACAUCCUAAUGGUGCAGCCGCUAUUAAGGGUUCGUUUGUUCAACGAUUAAAGUCCUACGUGAUCU
rnacentral:rRNA from 1 species